UGGGGGAUAUUGCGCAAUGGGGGAAACCCUGACGCAGCAACGCCGCGUGAAGGAUGAAGGCUUUCGGAUUGUAAACUUCUUUUGUUAAGGACGAAGAUAUGACGGUACUUAACGAAUAAGCUCCGGCUAACUAUGUGCGAGCAGCCGCGGUAAUACAUAGGGAGCAAGCGUUGUCCGGAUUUACUGGGUGUAAAGGGUGCGUAGGCGGCAAGGCAAGUCAGAUGUGAAAUGUAUGGGCUCAACCCAUAAGCUGCAUUUGAAACUGUUUUGCUUGAGUGAAGUAGAGGCAGGCGGAAUUCCCGGUGUAGCGGUGAAAUGCGUAGAGAUCGGGAGGAACACCAGUGGCGAAGGCGGCCUGCUGGGCUUUAACUGACGCUGAGGCACGAAAGCGUGGGGAGCAAACAGGA
rnacentral:rRNA from 1 species